rnacentral:rRNA from 1 species
UCAGGUGGCAACGGCGGCGGGGCCCCACCUCUUCCCAUUCCGAACAGAGAAGUUAAGCCCGCCCGCGCCGAUGGUACUGCGUAAGCGGGAGAGUAGGUCGCUGCCUGGU